ensembl:snRNA RNU6-836P RNA, U6 small nuclear 836, pseudogene
UUGCUUGCUUUGACAGCACAUAUACUAAAAUCAGAAUAAUACAGAGAAGAUUAGCAUGGUCCCUGCACAAGGAUGACAUGCAAAUUUGUGAAGUAUUCCAUAUUUUU